UCUUCUGACACAAAUUCUCCAGGGCACAACCCUGACUUCCGAAGGCAGCUCCUGGCUGCCUUCUCGGGACACUUUGAACCUAAGGAAGAAAUCAAAAACCAGGGUGAAAAGGAAGCGUGCAUUUUGAGAGGAUGGUUGGCUUGGCCUGACUGAUGGCUUCCCCAAGCAGGGGGAAGUUUCUGAGAGGCUGUAAGCAACUUCUGAGCAGUUCAGAGAAGAAUUCAGGAAAACAAACCGAGUGGUUUUUCAGCUGGAGAUGAUGCUGCGAUGUCAUUCUUGUAUUGUUCCGAGGAAAGAGCUGCAGAUUUUAAGUGAAUGGAUCCAGGAGGUGUUAAUGAACUCUAGACAUACGCUUUCUCAGUGCGGUCUCCGCUGAGACCCAGAUGACCAGGAUUUCACCUCUUUCCUCACCAGAAUGAACUCUCCUAUUCUGAAUAUAAAAACGUUUAUGAACGGAGCCCGAAAGCUCUCCUAAGAAGCCGCCUCCACAUCCCGAAUGGGACGGGGGGAGAGAGGGGUUUCAUAAUGCUUCGAGAAGAAGACGAAGAGAGGAAAAGAAAAAAAAAAAACCCUAAGCUUUAAUUUUAAUUCUCCUGCCUUUAUUUAUCUGAUUUGUGGCCAGAUGGUGGUGAAGCAAGGAAACCCUUUGUGCCCACGAAGCACACAUGUGAAAGUGCUUCUGUAAUGUAAUCAUUGAGACCGGAAGGGUUCAUACUGUGUCUGAAAAGAGACAAUGGAGCCGGGAUAUAUCAACAUCGCCGAAAUCGAGUUCAUUCGCGAUGCAGGCC
ensembl:lncRNA